CGAACGGCAGCGGGCUCUUCGGAGUGCCGGCGAGUGGCAAACGGGUGAGUAAUACAUCGGAACAUGCCCAGUAGUGGGGGAUAGCUCGGCGAAAGCCGAAUUAAUACCGCAUACGACCUUCGGGUGAAAGGGGGGGAUCUUCGGACCUCUCGCUAUUGGAGUGGCCGAUGGCUGAUUAGUUUGUUGGUGGGGUAACGGCCUACCAAGACUGCGAUCAGUAGCUGGUCUGAGAGGACGAUCAGCCACACUGGGACUGCGACACGGCCCAGACUCCUACGGGAGGCAGCAGUGGGGAAUCUUGGACAAUGGGCGAAAGCCUGAUCCAGCAAUGCCGCGUGUGCGAUGAAGGCUUUCGGGUUGUAAAGCACUUUUAUCAGGGAAGAAAUGGUUUGGGAUAAUACCUCAAAUA
rnacentral:rRNA from 1 species